rnacentral:rRNA from 1 species
UACAGAGGGUGCGAGCGUUAAUCGGAAUUACUGGGCGUAAAGAGCUCGUAGGCGGCUUGUCACGUCGGGUGUGAAAGCCCGGGGCUUAACCCCGGGUCUGCAUUCGAUACGGGCAGGCUAGAGUGUGGUAGGGGAGAUCGGAAUUCCUGGUGUAGCGGUGAAAUGCGCAGAUAUCAGGAGGAACACCGGUGGCGAAGGCGGAUCUCUGGGCCAUUACUGACGCUGAGGAGCGAAAGCGUGGGGAGCGAACAGG